rnacentral:rRNA from 1 species
UACGGAGGGUGCAAGCGUUACUCGGAAUUACUGGGCGUAAAGGGUGCGUAGGUGGUUUGUUAAGUCCGGUGUGAAAGCCCUGGGCUCAACCUGGGAAUGGCAGUGGAUACUGGCAAGCUAGAGUGCGGAUGAGGGUAGUGGAAUUCCCGGUGUAGCAGUGAAAUGCGUAGAUAUCAGGAGGAACACCGAUGGCGAAGGCAGGUCGCUGGGCUGACACUGACGCUCAUGCACGAAAGCGUGGGGAGCAAACAGG